UGACGAGUUUGAUCCUGGCGCAGAUUGAACGCUGGCGGAAUGCUUUACACAUGCAAGUCGAACGGUAGAGGGGGCAACCCCUUGAGAGUGGCGAACGGGUGAGUAAUGUAUCGGAACGUGCCCAGUCGUGGGGGAUAACGUAGUGAAAAUUACGCUAAUACCGCAUACGAUCUAUGGAUGAAAGCGGGGAUCGCAAGACCUCGCGCGAUUGGAGCGGCCGAUAUCAGAUUAGGUAGUUGGUAGGGUAAAGGCCUACCAAGCCAACGAUCUGUAGCUGGUCUGAGAGGACGACCAGCCACACUGGAACCGAGACACGGUCCAGACUCCUACGGGAGCAGCAGUGGGAAUUUGGACAAUGGGCGAAGCCUGAUCCAGCCAUUCCCGCGUGCAGGAUG
rnacentral:rRNA from 1 species